UACGUAGGGGGCGAGCGUUGUCCGGAUUCAUUGGGCGUAAAGAGCUCGUAGGCGGUUCAGUAAGUCGGGUGUGAAAGCUCCGAGCUCAACUCGGAGAGGCCACCCGAUACUGCUGUGACUUGAGUCCAGUAGAGGAGCGUGGAACUCCUGGUGUAGCGGUGAAAUGCGCAGAUAUCAGGAAGAACACCGGUAGCGAAGGCGGCGCUCUGGGCUGGAACUGACGCUGAGGAGCGAAAGCGUGGGUAGCAAA
rnacentral:rRNA from 1 species